GGAAAGGACACAGGUUAAGCAAAGAAGGGAAAAAAGCAGACGGUAAAGCGAGGGAGAGUCCAUGUGUGAUUCGCCAUGACUCCUCCGAGGAUUAAUUAAAAGAUGAAAAAAGAUGUCACCCAUGGAUGUUCACGGAUUACCCGGCCGCACGUUAACCUCGUAAUGACAUCACAUCUCCGUCUUUUUAGUCUGGUUAUCAAGAGGAGGAUAAUUGGCAACCACUUUUUGUGCCUCACUGGUGAAAAGGUGCAGUGUAGAGUGUGCGGGGUGUGGCCAACCCACGAACAGAUUCCUUCACCAACAACCAAACAUCCACAAAGAGCGUGUUCAAGAGUCUUCAUGUGGCCCCUCACACUACAGGACACCUGACCCUAAAUAUUAAAAAUGUUAUAUAUUUACAAUUUUAACUCAGGAUGGCCACAAUGCUCUUCCGGGCAGAUCAGGGUGAGUUGAAUUACUUUUUGAC